CUGCAGGCAGGGGCAGUGCGCAGAGCUGGCUGGCUGCCCGUGAGCCUAGGAGGUGGACAUGCUGGCCCCUUCCGGGAGCCUCCCAAGGUCAUUUCUAAUCUCGUGAACCAUUGACCAACCAUGCUUUGAGGCAAAGAACUCCGAUCUUGGGGUGAAGGAUCUUCCCACAUUCCUGAGAGAGAAGAUGAGGAGCUACCUGGAGAGUGAUUGUAGGACUUUGGAUAUUAGAGGAGUUGAAGGGAAUGCAUACAGUAGACCUGAUGACCACUGAAGGUGAAUGGCAUCCCCCAAGGAUCAGUGGUUCAGCCUGCCUCCAGAGCAGAACUGGGUGCCCCAUUGCCGGAAUAGUGAUGAAGUAUGAUGAGGUCUAUCUCCCACUCAUGGUCUCGAGAGAAGUGCCUGCUGAGUGUGUCUGCCAUCACAUUCUGAACUCCUGGGAGGUAAGUUGCUGUGAUGAUGAUCUGAUUGUGUAUGCAUCAAUUCCAAAGUUUGACAGUCUUAGCUCAAAGGGUGGGGAAUCUUGCCUCUCCUUGCUGGUUGAUAUGGGACAUGCAUGACAUGUUGUCCAUCGUGACUUUUAUGUGUUUGCCCCUGAUUACUGGUAAA